rnacentral:tRNA from 1 species
ACUCUUAGCUUAGGGGUAGAGCAGUCGGCUCAUAACCGAAUUUGCCCUCGUUCGAAUCGAGGUGGGACUA